GACGAACGCUGGCGGCGUGCCUAAUACAUGCAAGUAGAACGCUGAAGGAGGAGCUUGCUUCUCUGGAUGAGUUGCGAACGGGUGAGUAACGCGUAGGUAACCUGCCUGGUAGCGGGGGAUAACUAUUGGAAACGAUAGCUAUACCGCAUAAGAGUAGAUGUCGCAUGACAUUUGCUUAAAAGGUGCAAUUGCAUCACUACCAGAUGGACCUGCGUUGUAUUAGCUAGUUGGUGAGGUAACGGCUCACCAAGGCAACGAUACAUAGCCGACCUGAGAGGGUGAUCGGCCACACUGGGACUGAGACACGGCCCAGACUCCUACGGGAGGCAGCAGUAGGGAAUCUUCGGCAAUGGACGGAAGUCUGACCGAGCAACGCCGCGUGAGUGAAGAAGGUUUUCGGAUCGUAAAGCUCUGUUGUAAGAGAAGAACGAGUGUGAGAGUGGAAAGUUCACACUGUGACGGUAUCUUACCAGAAAGGGACGGCUAACUACGUG
rnacentral:rRNA from 1 species